rnacentral:lncRNA from 1 species
GAAUGAAUUUUAACUUAAAAUGCAUGAUAAUAGUUUUGCACAAAAAUUUGUUAAACAACUCUCACGUUUUGGUGGAAAGUCACCUAAAUAUAUGGUUAAGGACCUAAUUCAAAGAUUGAUGUCAAAUGAGCU